AGCGAACGCUGGCGGCAGGCCUAACACAUGCAAGUCGAGCGGUUGACGGGAGCUUGCUCCCUGAUUCAGCGGCGGACGGGUGAGUAAUGCCUAGGAAUCUGCCUAUUAGUGGGGGACAACGUUUCGAAAGGAACGCUAAUACCGCAUACGUCCUACGGGAGAAAGCAGGGGACCUUCGGGCCUUGCGCUAAUAGAUGAGCCUAGGUCGGAUUAGCUUGUUGGUGAGGUAAUGGCUCACCAAGGCGACGAUCCGUAACUGGUCUGAGAGGAUGAUCAGUCACACGGGAACUGAGACACGGUCCAGACUCCUACGGGAGGCAGCAGUGGGGAAUAUUGGACAAUGGGCGAAAGCCUGAUCCAGCCAUGCCGCGUGUGUGAAGAAGGUCUUCGGAUUGUAAAGCACUUUAAGUUGGGAGGAAGGGUUGUAGAUUAAUACUCUGCAAUUUUGACGUUACCGACAGAAUAAGCACCGGCUAACUCUGUGCCAGCAGCCGCCGUAACAC
rnacentral:rRNA from 1 species